AUUUAGGGUUCAAUUUUGGACAGUCUGUUAUACCCUUGUCACCUGGUCCCUUUCUUGUGUUAAUAUUAGCCACUGAACUGGAGAUUUUACAACAACUCUUUUAUUUGUGGCAGCAGCCAGAAACCUGAGACACCUCAUUGCUGAGUUGUGAUGUGACGUCAUGGAUUACCCUUCAGUUGGUAAAAAAGGUGGCAGAUUGUGAAAUUUGUUACUGAAACAAUGACGGGUUAGACAAACAUAGUUUAAUGUCUAUUUCACUGAAGCUGGCCUUGUAGUUGGGGUCCCUCUGUUGCAAUUUACAGUAUGGUUUCUUUGUCCUAACAGACAGGUUUGUCCACCCAUUACAAAGCCUCACCAUGUGUUAUUCUUCUCAGAUUCUGAUUUAUUUUCACCAUGGAAGAAUCUUGGAAUUUGGUUGUAAAUAUUUAGAAUUACUUGGGGAAAGGAAAGUAACAUGUCCUAAGAAGCAUUUUUCUUUUAAAUUUUUGAAAUAUUUUGUGAUAUCAUUCUACUCUGCCUGAUCAUCUGCUGCUUUCCUUUCUAAAAUUUGACUGCUCAUAGCUAUCUUUUAUGAUUUUUAGCUGGAAUUUCACAAGUUUUGUUGUUUCAAUUAUUCUUUCCAUGAUUCAUCACAUAUAACUUACAACUAGAAAUCAUAAACUUGCUGUAACUUUUAAAAACAAACAAGUGAAUUCUAAAAAUCCUGUAUUAAUUUCCGUUCUCCUAGGAUUUUUCAUAUUCGACUUCUUUAGUACUGUUGGAUCAACAGUUAAAUGCAUUAUAAAUCCUAGAGCAUAAUUGUUUGCACUUGUGGAUGAAUAGAAUUUAGACUUAUAUGUAACUGGUGGGAAAAUUCAAACCAGGAUCUCAUAUCAUGAUCCAUGCAUCUUUCCUUUGGCUCAAAUUAGAAUUAUCAACGCCAAUGAACUUUGUUAAAGGCCAUUAAGAUUUUUGUAAACUUGAGUGAAGUACGAACAUUUGGAAGCAUGGGGAAGAAAAUUUAAUAAAAUGAGACUCCCCAUUCUUUCAAUACAGUAGUUCAAAUGAAGGAAAAAGUGCAAGUUGUAAUCAAAAUGAGAUAGAUUUUCAUCUACCGCUGUUGAAGCUAGACCCAUCUUAGAAAGGGUGAAUUGUGUUAGGAUCUGUAACACAGAGAGGAUAUAAAUGGAGAAAGGCAGAAAUAACAAAUAUGUAAAAACCUUGUACUUGUAUAUUUUUUCUUCAAUUAUUUUAUGCAUGAUUAUUGUCUGAAGUGUUUAAGAUUAAAGCUGUGCUUAUCUAUGUACAUGCAAUGAGAUAUAUCAUUCUUCGAGUGUUUGUGGCCACAAAGAAAGAAGCAUACGAUACAGUUUACACCACAGCACAAUGACUUGAGAGUGAUUUUGGAUUAGAACUGGUUAGAUGAAAUGUAAGUAAAUAGAAGUUGCAUGAUUUCAUGUUUCUGUGUUCGCAAGACCAAAUCUUUCUUAGUGAUACUGGAAGCAGAAACACGUCACAGGAAGUCGUCCAGUUGAUCUGAUUCUGUUGGCUGUUUCUCUUGCUUUUUUCUCUUCCCUUUUUCUCUUCUCUUCCAGGUGUGCCCUUGCUCCCCCCGCAAUCUGGUCAAUUCGUGCAAUGUUUUCAUGGUAAUAUUGCUGGAACAGCGCCUUUUUGCGCUCCAAUUCAUCCUUCAUUAACAUAAUUUUUUUCAAUAGACCUUAAAAUGUUUAUAAUACAGAGGAAAAGGUGUGGGAAAGUGUGGCCAUACCUUUUUCUUUUCCAUAUGAAGUUUCGCAUGCAUUUUUUUCUCAUUUUCCCAGGCAAGAAUUGAAGCUUUUAUCUUCAGAUACCUGAAAUAUGAGAUUCUCAUAGAUAAGAGCUAGAUAAGAAAAUUUUAGGUGAGAAAUCUAGUGCAAGAGCGUCAUGAACUUGAGAACUUGCAACUGAGGUCAACUUAUGAAGAUUGAUGGAUGCAGCAGCAAACAGAAUAUUAAACUGAUAAAGCACUUGGUAUUUAGUAUAUACCUUUUACUAAUCCUCUCCAUCUUAUUUCUCUCCCACACAUCUGCUCUACUUGGUAUGAGGCUUCGUCUCGGCGGUGCCGGAGGUUUAGGAAUUCCAGUCACUGAUUCCCUCUUUUCCUGCUCCAUUGGCCUCUUUAUUGAAGAUUGACCUAGUGUAAUGAACAUGAACAUGAACAUGAAAUUUUUUUGUGAGAAGUUGUUAUAAGAAAUUUCUAAGCUUUAUUUAAA